AUUUUUCCUCUAUCUACGUGUUGCUUUUAUUCCGAAGUACACUCCAAAAUUUUGGAAUGAUCGAUGGCUUCUUUCAUUUCUCUUAUUGCAGUCCUCAAUCAAAAAUCAUCCAUAUCUCCGAUGAUACCUCCGUGAAUCACCCCAUCUCCAUCUGAUGAGUUGUACAUAAAAAUGGUGACAUCGGGGGGUCAAAUGGAGAAGAUGAAGCUACAUCCGUAUCACAUGAACACUGAUCUCAUACCAGUCACACAGUCUGAUACUCUUUGUAAAGUGUCUCUCACUUGAAUUUUCCUUAUUUUAUUGAUAUUUUUGAGUUUAUUUUUUUGCUCGCUAGCAUCUUACUUACACACUGGUACCUGUUAUGUUUGGAUUUGCAGUUUGAUCUUUCCCGCUUUGGUGGGAAGGGAGGCCAUCCAUUUGAAGUGAUGCACUCGGCCCUUACUGGAGUAGUGCAGUUUUCCUUCCUACCUCCCGCAACAAGACUUAAUAAGCUAGAAAAUACUGUGGUCCUUAAGAAUAAGCUGCAACUGAAGUGUACGUAUCUGGACAAUGAGGAUUCACAACUAUUGUGGCUGGUGUAGCGGUAAUGAUACUAUCGUGGAAGCAAGACCAGUAGCUCGAGAGGUGGUGGGAAAACAAACAGGAUGUACUACAAUACAAUAUCCAUGAAUGCAUCCCACUUUCUUAUCUUGAUUAGCCUCUGAACAACUACAAGGUUCUCCAUAUUUUAUGUCAUCUUCUUUCUUUUAAGUUCUAUGUCAUCUAAUGGCAUAAACCCGAAUGUUAACCUGUAGAAUAGUCCUCCUGGAUACUUUCUUCAUAUGUGCAGUGAGUUGCUAUUAUGAUCUUGUGCUCAGCAAAUGGAGUAAAAACCUAUUUCAUUUGUACCUCUUUUAGAUCAGAUUUAUAUUUUUUAGUUUGCAGGUUGUGUUUCAACUCCAACAAAGACAGUCUGUUAAAGAAGCACUUAAUGCAGUUGAAAACAUAGCAGAUCAAAUUGUAAGCCUUUCUUUGAUCUGCCCUUCCAUGAUCUCGAUAUUUACCUAUUACCAAGGCUUCCUCCAGCCUUGUGUUUCUUGAAACCGAAAAAGGUCAGAGUGGCUAAGGCAGGGUGAAAGAUGAUCUACCGAAGCUUGGAGAAAAAAGAUAUCUUAUACUAAAGCUUUGAAAUAGUCCUUACACUCAAAAGUGGAUAUUCAUUAUCUUUUAGAUGAAGCUUGGAGAAAAAAGAUUAUCUUAUACUGAAGCUUUGAAAUAGUCCUUACACUCAAAAGUGGAUAUUCAUUAUCUUUUAGAUAUUUGGUAAAGUUUUAUCUCUCACUGCAUGAAAGUAGUAUCAAGUGUUAUUAUGUUUUGUACAUUUAAUCAGUGUGACAAUACACUUGAAUUGAGUGUGGGAAUAUUUUUCUCGGUUGAA